UAGGGAAUCUUCCACAAUGGACGAAAGUCUGAUGGAGCAACGCCGCGUGAGUGAAGAAGGUUUUCGGAUCGUAAAACUCUGUUGUAAGGGAAGAACACGUACGAGAGUAACUGCUCGUACCUUGACGGUACCUUAUUAGAAAGCCACGGCUAACUACGUGCCAGCAGCCGCGGUAAUACGUAGGUGGCAAGCGUUGUCCGGAAUUAUUGGGCGUAAAGCGCGCGCAGGCGGUCCUUUAAGUCUGAUGUG
rnacentral:rRNA from 1 species